CACUAAAUGAAAAAAGGAACAUGACAGCUGAAUGAACAUACACCAAAAUGAUAUGAUGUUCAUAGUCUUAUGGUUUAAAAUAGCCCUUCCUUAGGGGGGUGGGGGAGGGUCACAAAAAGAAAAAACGUAUUUCCCUUAUCCACACCAUCACUCCCCACAUUUUACCAAAUAAUGUAGAUCCUGUAUUCUAGAUUUAUUCAAACACAAACAAUAGGGUAAGUCGCGCUAAACAGUAAAUAGAUCAUAAAUGGCAAAUCCCAGUGCGUCUAAAACCAAACCAGUGUUUUAGUCACCUUAAAAACACUUACAUUAGUACAAAUGGAUACAGGAAAAGGUAUCCAUUUGUACUAAUCAUAGGGCAAUAUGCAUAAACCAAUAACUGAUAUAGAAAAUGAUUAGGAGCGCUCACAUUUUAGAGAGCCAUAUAAGUCGGCUCUCUACUGUAGUAGCAUGUAGAAUACUCUGUACUGUAGUUGGAAUGGUCCCCCAGGAACAAGAAUCUGUCUGGAUACAAUCAGAAACCAAAAUAAAAUAUAAAUACGUUUGUACUAGUAUUUCACCUGAGGAAGACCCAUUUGAGUGGUCGAAAUGCGUUGUGCUUA